AACGAACGCUGGCGGCAGGCUUAACACAUGCAAGUCGAGCGCCCCGCAAGGGGGGUGGCAGACGGGUGAGUAACGCGUGGGAACGUGCCCUUCGCUUCGGAAUAGUCCCGGGAAACUGGGUUUAAUACCGGAUACGCCGUAUUGGGAAAGAUUUAUCGGCGAAGGAUCGGCCCGCGUUGGAUUAGCUAGUUGGCGGUGUAAUGGACCACCAAGGCGACGAUCCAUAGCUGGUCUGAGAGGAUGAUCAGCCACACUGGGACUGAGACACGGCCCAGACUCCUACGGGAGGCAGCAGUGGGGAAUCUUGGACAAUGGGCGCAAGCCUGAUCCAGCCAUGCCGCGUGAGUGAAGAAGGCCUUAGGGUUGUAAAACUCUUUCGCCGGAGAAGAUAAUGACGGUAUCCGGAGAAGAAGCCCCGGCUAACUUCGUGCCAGCAGCCGCCGUAAAAC
rnacentral:rRNA from 1 species